GCAGGGUGAAGGUGCAGUAACAUGCACUGGAGGCCCGAACCGUUGAGCGUUGAAAAGCUCUCGGAUGACCUGUGCCUAGGGGUGAAAGGCCAAUCAAACUUGCUGAUAGCUGGUUCUCCUCGAAAUCUAUUUAGGUAGAGCGUCGAUCGAAUACUCUUGGGGGUAGAGCACUGACUGGGCUAGGGGUCCUCACCGGAUUACCAAACCUUAUCAAACUCCGAAUACCAAGAAGUACUAAUCGGCAGACACACGGCGGGUGCUAACGUCCGUCGUGGAGAGGGAAACAACCCUGACCACCAAUUAAGGUCCCCAAAUAAUGGCUAAGUGUGAAAGGAUGUGGGAUUGCUUUGACAAUGAGGAGGUUGGCUUAGAAGCAGCCAUCCUUUAAAGAAAGCGUAACAGCUCACUCAUCAAGCGAUCCUGCGCCGAAAAUGUAACGGGGCUAAAGCCAUUUACCGAAAUUGUGGGCUCGAAAGAGCGGUAGCGGAGCGUUCCGUAAGCCUGCGAAGGUGCACUGCGAGGUGUGCUGGAGGUAUCGGAAGUGAGAAUGUUGACAUGAGUAGCGACAAAGCGGGUGAGAGACCCGCUCGCCGAAAAUCCAAGGGUUCCUGCGUAAAGCUAAUCUGCGCAGGGUUAGCCGGCCCCUAAGGCGAGGCCGAAAGGCGUAGCCGAUGGGAACCACGUUAAUAUUCGUGGGCCUGGGAGUGUGUGACGGAUUUCGAAAGUUGUCAUCCCUUAACGGAUUGGGAUGGCGGCCUGGAAGUCCCUGGAAAUAGCCCUCCCGUAUAGACCGUACCCUAAACCGACACAGGUGGAUAGGUAGAGAAUACCAAGGCGCUUGAGAGAACGAUGCUGAAGGAACUCGGCAAAUUACCUCCGUAACUUCGGGAGAAGGAGGCCUCACU
rnacentral:rRNA from 1 species